UACGUAGGGGGCAAGCGUUGUCCGGAUUUAUUGGGCGUAAAGCGUCUGUAGGUGGUUUAAUAAGUCAACUGUUAAAUCUUGAGGCUCAACCUCAAAAUCGCAGUCGAAACUAUUAGGCUAGAGUAUAGUAGGGGUAAAGGGAAUUUCCAGUGGAGCGGUGAAAUGCGUAGAGAUUGGAAAGAACACCGAUGGCGAAGGCACUUUACUGGGCUAUUACUAACACUCAGAGACGAAAGCUAGGGUAGCAAAUGGG
rnacentral:rRNA from 1 species